rnacentral:lncRNA from 1 species
UUUAUUUUCGUGGGUAUCAAUUUUCGUGGAUGGAGGAAAACUUGCAUAUUCGUGGAUAUUUGAUUUCGUGGUUUUGUCAAUCUGUGCACACAAAGCCAUAGAAAAUUUGUAAUUCGUUGAACAUUUGAAUUCGUGGUUCACUUGUUCCCACGAAACCCACGAAAAUUGAUAUCCAACGAAUAAUAAUGAAUCUACAGUAGUUGAACA